AAACCGUUCGGGGGAAAACGGACAGAGCCCGUGAAUUCGGGCGAGUGAAUUCAUGGUGGAUGGCGGGCUCUCGAGUUCGUCGUCUGUCUGAUAUUUCGCUCGCCGCGAACGUUGCGACCCGUUCGAUGUUAAGCGAAGGGCGAUUGGUUAAAGUUUUGACGUGUGCUUGAGGUUCGCCGCAUGCACGUGUUGAAGACCGUUCGCAUAUCCCGUUUAACUAGUUGGACGGUAAGCUAAAUGGUAGGCGUUUGUAGGCGCUUGCGCGUGCAAACGUUGCCGGUCAGUGACGAAUCAUCGGGCCUCUUUCCGA
rnacentral:rRNA from 1 species